UGAGUAACACGUAUCCAACCUGCCGUCUACUCUUGGACAGCCUUCUGAAAGGGAGAUUAAUACAAGAUGGCAUCAUGAGUUCACAUGUUCACAUGAUUAAAGGUAUUCCGGUAGACGAUGGGGAUGCGUUCCAUUAGAUAGUAGGCGGGGUAACGGCCCACCUAGUCUUCGAUGGAUAGGGGUUCUGAGAGGAAGGUCCCCCACAUUGGAACUGAGACACGGUCCAA
rnacentral:rRNA from 1 species